rnacentral:rRNA from 1 species
CUGAGAGAUGAGCAAGGACAGUAUCUCAGGAAUAAGUCUCGGCUAACUACGUGCCAGCAGCCGCGGUAAAACGUAGGAGGCAAGCGUUAUCCGGAUUCACUGGGCGUAAAGCGCGUGCAGGCGGUUCGGUAAGUUGGGUAUGAAAUCUCCUGGCUUAACUAGGAGAGGUUAUCCAAUACUACCGGACCUGAGAGUGGUAGAGGGGGUGGAAUUCCACGUGUAGCAGUGAAAAUGCGUAGAGAUGUGGAGGAACACCGAUGGCGAAGGCAGCCCCCUGGGCCAAUACUGACGCUCAUGCACGAAAGCGUGGGGAGCAAACAGGAUUAGAUACCCUGGUAGUCCACGCCCUAAACGAUGUCAACUAGGUGUUGGGAGGGUUAAACCUUUUAGUGCCGUAGCUAACGCGUGAAGUUGACCGCCUGGGGAGUACGGCCGCAAGGCUAAAACUCAAAGGAAUUGACGGGGACCCGCACAAGCGGUGGAUGAUGUGGAUUAAUUCGAUGCAAC